UUCCGUAGGAUGACCUGCGGAAGGAUCAUUA
rnacentral:rRNA from 1 species